rnacentral:rRNA from 1 species
UACGUAGGGCGCAAGCGUUAUCCGGAAUUAUUGGGCGUAAAGAGCUCGUAGGCGGCUUGUCGCGUCGACUGUGAAAACCCGCGGCUCAACCGUGUGGCUUGCAGUUGAUACGGGCAGGCUAGAGUUCGGUAGGGGAGACUGGAAUUCCUGGUGUAGCGGUGAAAUGCGCAGAUAUCAGGAGGAACACCGGUGGCGAAGGCGGGUCUCUGGGCCGAUACUGACGCUGAGGAGCGAAAGCGUGGGGAGCGAACAGG